AGCCUUUAGCUAAACAAGUAUUAAAGGUCCUGCCUGCCCAGUGAUUUUUUAAACGGCCGCGGUAUCCUAACCGUGCAAAGGUAGCGUAAUCACUUGUCUUUUAAAUAAAGACCUGUAUGAAUGGCUAAAUGAGGAUAAACCUGUCUCUUAUAACUAAUCAGUGAAACUGAUCUUCCAGUACAAAAGCUGGAAUAAUCACAUAAGACGAGAAGACCCUGUGGAGCUUAAAACAAGCCGCUAAAUAGACACCCGUCUGCCUUAGCGCACGUUUUCAGUUGGGGCGACUUCGGAAUAAAAAACAACUUCCGAGCACAGAGCCACAACCUCUAACUAAGGCUAACAAGCCAAAGCACCAAAACAGACCCGGCCUAGCCGAUCAACGAACCAAGUUACCCCAGGGAUAACAGCGCAAUCUUCUUCGAGAGCCCCUAUCAACAAGAAGGUUUACGACCUCGAUGUUGGAUCAGGACACCCAAAUGGUGCAGCCGCUAUUAAAGGUUCGUUUGUUCAACGAUUAACAGUCCUACGUGAUCUGAGUUCAGACCGGA
rnacentral:rRNA from 1 species